rnacentral:rRNA from 1 species
GACGAACGCUGGCGGCGUGCUUAACACAUGCAAGUCGAACGGAAAGGCCCUGCUUUCGUGUGGUUUUCGAGUGGCGAACGUGUGAGUAACACGUGAGUAACCUUCCCUUUACUUUGUGAUAACUUCAGGAAACUGCUGCUAAUACCUGCUAGGAGCUCCUGCUGCAUGGUGGGGUUUGGAACGUUUCGGCGGUUGGGGAUGGACUCGCGGCUUAUCAGCUUGUUGGUGGGGUAGUGGCUUACCAAGCCUUUGGCGGGUAGCCGGCCUGAGAGGGUGACCGGCCACAUGGGGACUGAGAGAGGGAGCAGACGGGUACGGGGGGCAGUGGGGGGGAGUAUGGCACAGUGGGCGGGAGCGUGAGGAGGAAGCGCCGGGAGCGGGAUGAAGGCCUUGGGGUUGUAAACCGCAGUCGCCUGUGACGAAGCGGGAGUGACGGUAAUGGGUAAAGAAGCACCGGCUAACUACGUG